rfam:Candidatus Doudnabacteria bacterium RIFCSPHIGHO2_01_FTLL_43_23 rifcsphigho2_01_scaffold_15788, whole genome shotgun sequence.
AAGUAAGUAAGAAAGAGUACACGGUGAAUGCCUUGGCACAAAAAGCCGAUGAAGGACGUAGAAGUCUGCGAAAAGCCUCGGGGAGGUGACAAACAACCUUUGAUCCGGGGAUCUCCGAAUGGGACAACCUAGCGUGGUAAACCUACGCUGCUUCGCAGAAGUAGUUCUGUGAAGACGGGAACUGUGCGAACUGAAACAUCUCAGUAGCAUGAGGAAAAUAAAGCAAGAACAGCUUUUAACUUGUAGCUGGUAGUUGGCUAGGAUUGAUUCCUUGCCAGCUAACUAGCUAAGAAGUUUUAAGCUUGCGAUUCCCCUAGUAGUGGCGAGCGAACGGGGAUGUAUGUCUAAACUUAUUAAUCACCAUUUUGGUUUGGGUUCUUCGGAAUUCAAACUUUAGUGGACGGGUUACGGCCCUUAUGUUUGGUAAGUGUUAUAAGGGAAACUCUAACUUUGCCGUAAACGAAGUAGAAAUUUAUUGGGUUGGUUAGCCGAACGGUCCUGGAAAGGCCGGCCAAAGAAGGUGAUAGCCCUGUAGUGCGAAAACUUCCAAAAAAAUUCCGAGUUUUUUCUUAAGUACGGCCAGACACGUGAAAUCUGGCCUGAAAUCGGGUUGACUACAAUCCAAGACUAAAUACUUUUUGUGACCGAUAGUGAACUAGUACCGUGAGGGAAAGGUGAAAAGCACCCCGGAGAGGGGGAUGAAAUAGUAUCUGAAACCGUGUACUUACAAAGAGUCGGAGCCUGAAGUACUUUUUUCGCAAGAAAAAGGUACCGGGUGACGGCGUGCCUAUUGAAGAAUGACCCAACGAGUUAAUGUAUAUCGCUUGUUUAAGGUUUGAAAACCGAAGACGAAGUGAAAGCAAGCGUUAAUAGCGCGCAAAAGUAGUAAAAAGUUCAUAAAGUUAAAGGUUCUUAAAGUUUUUUACUUUAUAAACUUUAUAACUUGGAACUUUUUACUAACUUUAGGUGGUAUGCAUUAGACCCGAAACCGGGUGAGCUACUCAUGGCCAGGAUGAACUCUGGGUAACACCAGAGGGAGGUCCGAACGCGUUGAGGCUGCAAACUCUUGCGAUGAGCUGUGAGUAGUGGAGAAAUUCCAAUCGAACCCGGAGAUAGCUGGUUCUCCUCGAAAUAGCUUUCGGGCUAGCCUCAAGUGUUCCUCUAACAGGUAGAGCACUGAAUUGGUCUAUGCGGAGAAAUCUGUAGGACCGAAUCAAACUCCGAAUUGUUAGAGUUAAAACUUGGGAGUCAGACAGUGGGGGCUAAGCUCCACGAGUCGAAAGGGAAACAGCCCUAAAUCAUCAUCUAAGGUCCCAAAGUCAAAGCUAUAGUGAAAAGGAUGUGUUUGGCCUCAGACAGAUAGGAUGUUGGCUUAGAAGCAGCCACCAUUUAAAGAGUGCGUAAUAGCUCACUAUCAGAAUUCCGACCUUCGGGUCGGAUGGGCCGAAUGCGCCAACAAUUAAAAGGGGCUAAGCUUUGCACCGAAGAUAUGGGUUCUCCGAUUUUAAUCGGAGAGCGGUAGAGGAGCGUCCUUGUUCUGUAGAAGCCGGAUCCGCGAGGGCCGGUGGAAGAACAAGAAGUGAGAAUGUUGGGAUAAGUAAUUAAUUUGCAGGUGAGAAUCCUGCACACCGAAAGUCCAAGGUUUCCUGGGCAAUGAUCGUCAGCCCAGGGUUAGUCGAUCCUAACUUCGUACGCGAAAGCGUCCGGGGGAUGGAAAAUACGGUUGAUAUUCCGUAACCACGAUGAAAUUAUCUUCGAAGUGACACAUCAGGAUAGAGCAAGCAUAAUUUGAAUUAUUGUGUUCUUGUAUUGGUAAGCGGAUCUUUCAGGCAAAAUCCGGAAGAUCACAUGCGUGACGUACCUACCUCCGGCUUCGGUCGGAGACGGCGCGAUACUGCAAAAACGUUGAGAGUAUGAGAAGACCCCUGCAAAGGGGAAUCUGCUUGGACCAGGUGUCAAGAAAAGCUUCGUUGUUACGUUUCAUUGUGUUCGUACCGCAAACCGACACAGGUGGACGAGGAGAGCAUCCUAAGGUGCACGAGGUAAUGUUCGUUAAGGAACUCGGCAAAACAACGGCCGUACCUUCGGUAUAAGGCCUUCCAGCACCACUUAUUGAUCUGCUAUGAUUUAUUUAUGUGGAUUGUAUAUUUGAUCCAACAUAAUUUAAGUCGAGAGAUCUAUAUUGGUAAAAUCAAUGAUCUUAAACGUCGCAUUCAAAGCAGUAUGCUUUGAGAUCAAUAAGUGGUGCUGGACGCAGUAAAAGACUCUUUCCGACUGUUUAUCAAAAACACAGGUCCCUGCAAAGCCGUAAGGCAACGUAUAGGGGCUGAUGCCUGGCCAGUGUCAGAAGGUUAACAGCUUCCGGGCAACCGGACGCUCGAAGCCCUGAUGAACGCCGGCGAUAACUAUAAUCGUCCUAUGGUAGAAGGAAUUUACUCCGACUCUAGGUCGGAGAUUUGCUGCUAUAGUAAAACUUGGCUAUAUGCUGGAAAAUCUGGAGAAUCGAGCGCUACUGUGACAUAAUAACAAUAGAUAUACAUUCCUUGUUAUUAUGAAAUCAAGAUACAGUAAAAAUGCGUCUCGUGCAGACAAUCAGCAGGAAAGGCUAAUUAAAAUUGGCUGGAUUGUUGGAUAUGUCGAUGGCGAAGGUUGUUUUUCCAUCGGCUUCAUCAAGCAACUAGAUAAAGGGAAACGAAAAGGUUACAGAACAGGUUAUCAAGUAUCUCAUGAGUUCGCAGUAACUCAGGGAGAAAAAAGUAUCUCUUCUUUGAAAGAACUUCAAACGUUUUUCAAAGUUGGACAGGUGAUUAUUAAUAAACGAUAUGAUAAUCACAAAGAACAUCUCUACCGCUACGUAGUAAGAAAGAGAGAGGAUUUGUUGAAUGUAGUGAUUCCUUUUUUUAGACAGUACAAAAUGCAUUCAUCAAAACAGGAAGAUUUUGGAAAGUUCGCGAAGUGUGUAGAAACGAUCAAUGCUGGCAAACAUCUUACGAAAGAUGGAGUGAUUGCGAUUGCGCAGAUAACCGAAACAAUGAAUCGAAAAAAAUCUAGGUCAGAUUUAAUUAGAAUCCUCAGAGACCAUACGCCAAGAUCACCUGUAAGGUGAUAAGAUAUGGUCCCGACUGCAUGGCGACAUGCAGGGAUAAUAUGAUUAUUAUCCAUCCAUGAAAAAGUCAUGGUAAGAUUCAAGCGAAAUUCCUUGUCGUGUAAGUUACGACCCGCACGAAUGGCAUAACGAGUUGGAGACUGUCUUAACGAACAUCUCGAUGAACUUGCAAUAACGGUAAAGAUGCCGUUUUCACACAGCAAGACGGAAAGACCCUAUGAAGCUUUACUAUAGCGUGUCAUUGAAACAAUAUUUUUUCUGCUUAGUAUAGGUGGGAGACUUUGAUGUUCUGGUUCUGGCCAGAGCGGAGUCGCAAGUGAAAUACCACUCUGAGAAAGUUUUGUUUCUAACCCCGGUGUACUUGCCGGGGGACAGUGGCUCGUGGGUAGUUUAACUGGGGCGGUUGCCUCACCAUAGAUAUUCAAUUCCGUUACGCUCAACCUUACUUUUUGGAAGUGAAAAAAAUGAUAAAAAAAAAGCGAAAUUUUCGCUUGUGAUCUACUUGAAGGGUGACUCAAUCAUCAUUUCUAAGAAGUAAGGUUGAGAAGAAUAUCUAUAGGGGCGGUCUAAUAGCAAUAUUAGACGCAAACUGAGCUAUAUGCUGGGAAAACUGUUCCUUAAAUGGAUGCAGAGUUUGCAUUACCGCGGUUCGACCGGGUAAAAAAAUGUAAACGCAGUUCAUCAGCAGGGAAGUCGUUCGCCUAAAGCGGAUUGACCCCUCAACGACUAUACGCUUGGCUUCCUUGAUAAAAGGAAGAUGAUAUAGUCUGAACUGCAUGGCGACAUGCAGAAUCCGAUUAUAAUCGGAUACUUAAUCAAAUGAAAUGAACAGUAACAAAAUCAAGAGCUUUACAGAGUCCAUCAAACUUACAGAGAGACAACGAGCAAUCAUUGUUGGAACGUUGUUAGGCGAUGGACAUCUGGAAACUCAAAACAAAGGUAGAACUUUUCGUCUUAAAGUAGAACAUUCAAUAAGCCAAAAAGAUUAUGCGGAUUGGUUGUACGUAGAGUUGAAAAACUUGAUAUUGACCAAGCCACAAAUCAAAGAACAAAGGAUAAAAGGGAAACUAUAUAAAAAGUAUUGGUUUUCCACCGUAAGCAUUGGCGCUUUCAGAUUUUACGCACAGCAAUUUUACCAAAACGGUAAAAAGAUUGUGCCAAAAUUUAUAGCAAAAAUUGCUUCCCCUUUGUCUUUAGCAAUUUGGUUUAUGGACGAUGGAUCUUUAAAAUCCCAAUUUCAUAGAGCGCGUAUUAUCAAUACCCAGUGCUUUAGUGAGAAGGACUUGAAGAUACUUCAGGAUAUGUUAUUCAAGAAAUUUCAUAUCACCACUACUUUAAGAAAGCAGAAGGAAGGAAAGCAGAUUUACAUUCCUUCGACUGAAAUCGGAAAGUUUAUAUCGAUUGUUCAACCAUAUAUUAUUCCUUCAAUGGAAUACAAGAUUAAGGUAACAUAAUUGCCUAAAUUGUAACGGAGGCGUUUAAAGGUCGGCUAGCUACGGAUGGAAAUCGUAGCGAUAGCGUAAAGGCAAAUGCCGGCUUAACUGCAAGACUGGCAAGUCGCGCAGAUGGGAAACCAGAACUUAGUGAUCCGACGACCCUUAGUGGUAAGGGCGAAGCUCAUCGGACAAAAGUUACUCUAGGGAUAACAGGCUGAUCCUCUCCAAGCGUCCACAGCGACGAGAGGGUUUGGCACCUCGAUGUCGGCUCAUCACAUCCUGGGGGUGAAGAAGCUCCCAAGGGUUCGGCUGUUCGCCGAUUAAAGUGGUACGCGAGCUGGGUUCAGAACGUAAAUUACAUUGCGUUCUACUACAGAAAUGUAGUACAAUAAAUCUGACUAAUAUCGGUGAAACCCUACUUAAUUAUGAACUGGUUAGAGUAGGGCAAUACCGAGGGAAGAUUAGAUUUGUGACAACUGAAGAAAAAGCUUAUAUAGCAGGAUUUCUAGAUGGUGACGGAUGCGUAAUGGCUCAACUUGUACGCCGUAAAGAUUAUAUUUAUGGAUAUCAAGUGAGAACCAGCAUUGUUUUUUAUCAAAAACAAUCACAUCAAGAAAUUCUUUCUUGGCUAAAAGAUAAAUUGAACUAUGGAUAUAUAAGACAAAGAAACGAUGGAAUGACGGAAUAUACCAUAGUGGGCUUUAAAGAAGUUCGGGAAGUAUUAGGACUUCUUUAUCCAUUUCUUCGUUUGAAGAAGAUACUGUCAACAGUGGUAUUGGAUAUUAUUAGGACUCAUCCAAAAAAGUUGAGUUCUAAGGAUUUAAUUAGAUUGAGUCGUUUGGUGGAUCAAACCGCAAAAUUUAAUUAUUCAAAAAAACGAACCAAUACCAGUGAAUCUGUAAAGUAUUUUUUAAAACACAAAUUUUUUCCCCGUAGAGACUUCAAGUCUAGCAAGAAACUAGCUUGAGAUAGUCCGCCUUAGGCGGAUUAUAAUACGUCGGCUCCUCAUCUCAUAUUCUCUGAGAAAGGAUGAAGAUAUAGUCCAUGCCAUCAGUAAUGGUGGAAUUACAUGCGUGAGACAGUUCGGUCCUUAUCUGCUGUGUGUGUUCGAAACUUGAGUGGUCGCUUCCCUAGUACGAGAGGACCGGGAAGCAUGAACCUCUGGUGUACCCGUUGUCGUUCCACGGCAUGGCGGGGUAGCUAACGUUCAGUUAGGAUAAGCGCUGAAAGCAUAUAAGCGCGAAGCCGUCCAUAAAACUAAGUUUCGUUGUCCCGAUCUUGUAUCGGGACGUAGAUUCGCGGAAGACUACCGCGUUAAUAGGCCGCAGGUGUAAGCGCAGUAAUGCGUUCAGCCGAGCGGUACUAAUCAAUCAAAAACUUAAUUCG